UACGAGGGGGGCGAGCGUUAAUCGGAAUUACUGGGCGUAAAGCGUGCGUAGACGGUCAUGUAAGUCGGGUGUGAAAGCCCCGGGCUCAACCUGGGAAUUGCAUUCGAGACUGCAUGGCUAGGGUGCGGAAGAGGGAAGCGGAAUUUCCGGUGUAGCGGUGAAAUGCGUAGAUAUCGGAAGGAACACCAGUGGCGAAAGCGGCUUCCUGGUCCAGCACCGACGUUCAGGCACGAAAGCGUGGGGAGCAAACAGG
rnacentral:rRNA from 1 species